GACGAACGCUGGCGGCGUGCUUAACACAUGCAAGUCGAACGGAAAGGCCCCUUUGGGGGUGCUCGAGUGGCGAACGGGUGAGUAACACGCGAGUAACCUGCCUUCGCUUUCGGGUUAACUUCAGGAAACUGGGGCUAAUACCGGAUAGGUAUCCUUGCCGCCUGGUGGGUGUUGGAAAGCUUCGGGGGUUUUGGAUGGAUUUGCGGCCUAGUAGCUUGGUGGUGGGGUAGUGGCUUACCAAGGAUUUGACGGGUAGCCGGCCUGAGAGGGCGACCGGCCACAAUGGGACUGGGAUACGGCCCAGACUCCUACGGGGGGCAGCAGUGGGGAAUAUUGCACAAUGGGCGGAAGCCUGAUGCAGCAACGCCGCGGGCGGGAUGACGGCCUUCGGGUUGUAAACCGCCUUCAGCAGGGGCGAAGCUUGUGGUGACGGUACCUGCAGAAGAAGCACCGGCUAACUACGUG
rnacentral:rRNA from 1 species